rnacentral:misc_RNA from 1 species
UGGUUCUGGCAUCGAUGAAGAACGCAGCGAAAUGCGAUAAGUAAUGUGAAUUGCAGAAUUUAGUGAAUCAUCGAAUCUUUGAACGCACAUUGCGCCCUUUGGUAUUCCGAAGGGCACAUCUGUUCGAGCGUCAUUACACCUAAUCAAGUCUUACUUGGUAAUUGAACAUUGUUGCUCCAAGUUGACAUGUUCCAAAGAUCUCUAGCAGAACCUUUUAGGUUUCAAGCGAUACAUGAUUUAACGUUUGUCAGACCGGAAAGGAACUUGCUAUAUUCUAUAAUUUUUAAAGGUUGACCUCGGAUCAGAUGGGGAUACCCGCUGA